ensembl:lncRNA
CGUAACAGCCAAUCAGUGUUACUCCCUUGGAGUGACCUUGAGAUCACUACCUGAUCCUGAUCAAACCGCUAAAAUGGAGGAGAAGAUUAUUAUUGCAGUCUCAUCAUACCCGGUGAUCUUCAACACCACCUUGGCAAGUUAUAAGGACCGGACGGUCAAGACCAAGGCUUGGCUGAAGGUGAGCGAGGAGGUCGGGCUAACUGAUCUAAGCUGUGAGGAGCCGGAGGCUGCUGCUGCCUCUGAACUCAUUCCACCACCACCACCACCAACUGCUGCUGUCACCACUCCUCCUAUUGCCCCAGUGAGGUCACAAUUCAGAAAAAGGGAGACGGAGAUCGAGGCCUUACUCCUUGAGGUGCUGAGGAAGCAGGCCGCACCUGUGCCUCCACCUGAGCCUCUCAUCCUCUCAGAGGAUGAGCACUUUUUAAAAACAAUACUUCCUUCCCUGCAGCGAUUCACCACCCAAUGCAAAGGAACAAAUUAAAUUCCAAAUGUAUAAAUUAUUGCACGAUGCAAACUGCGUUCAUAAUCCAGUAGAGUUUAAUUUGAUCAAUCAAUUUGGACCAGUCGAUGACUAGGUUCUGGGGUGACAAUCGUUGCAGGGAAUGAUCCAUGCCCAUUUUUUUUUUUUUUUGUUUACACACACACACACACACACACACACACACACACACACACACACACACACACACACACAC